rnacentral:rRNA from 1 species
GAUGAACGCUGGCGGCGUGCUUAACACAUGCAAGUCGAACGAUGAAGCCCAGCUUGCUGGGUGGAUUAGUGGCGAACGGGUGAGUAACACGUGAGUAACCUGCUCUUGACUCUGGGAUAAGCCUGGGAAACUGGGUCUAAUACUGGAUAUGACUUCUCAUCGCAUGGUGGGGGGUGGAAAGAUUUAUUGGUCUUGGAUGGACUCGCGGCCUAUCAGCUUUUUGGUGAGGUAAUGGCUCACCAAGGCGACGACGGGUAGCCGGCCUGAGAGGGUGACCGGCCACACUGGGACUGAGACACGGCCCAGACUCCUACGGGAGGCAGCAGUGGGGAAUAUUGCACAAUGGGCGCAAGCCUGAUGCAGCGACGCCGCGUGAGGGAUGACGGCCUUCGGGUUGUAAACCUCUUUCAGUAGGGAAGAAGCGAGAGUGACGGUACCUGCAGAAGAAGCGCCGGCUAACUACGUG